AUCGGGCAGCGCCGAGAUCGUGCGCUAUCGCGCCGAGUCCAUUCGACGCGACGACCUUUGCCGCACGGCAAGCGCGGAAGCCGCGCGCGCCUUCGAGAACAACGCCUUCUUCCUCAACUCCAGCGCGGAGGCAUGAACCAUGACGAUUCACACCGUUCCGGUUCAGGGCCGCAUCGUUCUCGACACCGAAAUUCCCGCCAAUUCUCCGUGGUCCGUCGUGAUUCGCAAAGGACAGACGUUGCGUAUCAUCGACAGCCAUGGCCAGCAGGCGGUCGAUA
rnacentral:misc_RNA from 1 species